AGAACGCGUGGAGCAUGUGGCUUAAUUUGACUCAACGCGGGAAAUCUUACCGGGUCCGGACACACUGAGGAUUGACAGGCAAUAUUAAUAUCGUACUUCGGUGCGUUUAUUAUGUUAAAUAUGCUAGUCCUUUCAUGAUUAUGUGAUAGGUGGUGCAUGGCCGUUCUUAGUUCGUGGAGUGAUCUGUCUGCUUAAUUGCGUUUCACUAAGGGCCUAUAAAUUACGUGUGUUGCGGCACUUUGACCCCUCUUUUUUUUAAAAAGAGCGCGUGUCUUAGUUUGCUUAGCUCACACAAUUAGGUCCUGAAAGCAACGAACGUGACCGCAACCUCUUGUUGCCUUUAUACCAAACAUGUUAUAUUCUCUUCGGAGGGUUUCAUGAAAAAAGGCUUUUUAAACUAGAGGGACCGCUGUUACUUUCUUAAACCAGAGGAAGGUUGCGGCAAUAACAGGUCUGUGAUGCCCUUAGAUGUUCCGGGCUGCACACGUGCUACAAUGAUUAUUGCAGUGAGCAUCUCAUUUUUUACACACCGCAUACGCGAGUCCAUUUAUUCACUUUCGGGUGCUUUAAAUGUGUAUCUCUGCGAGCGGUAAAGCCUGCUUCGAAAGUAAGUGGGUAAUCAAUUAGAAGUAAUGAUUUCCUUUUUUUUAGCACACAUAUAUACGGCGUUUAUACCCGGGCUGCCUUGUUGUAGCUUUUGGUGCGUAUAGAUGUUUUUUCCGUAUGUGCGAUUGUCAAUUCAUGGUGGGGACAGACCAUUGUUAAUUGUUGGUCUCGGUCUUAACUAGGAAUGCCUUGUACGGGUCUUUGGUUCAACAAACCACCCGGAAUACGUCCCUGCCCUUUGUACACACCGCCCGUCGCUCUUACCGAUGGACUUCUCUGUGAGUUUGAGGGACUGGGAACGCAGAUUUUAUUAUCUGCACACCUAUGGAAACUUAAACGAACAGUGUGGUCUAAAGGAAAGAGAAGUCGUAACAAGGCAUCGGUAGGUGAACCUGCAGAAGGAUCA
rnacentral:rRNA from 1 species